GCAUAUAAGUAAGCGGAGGACAAGAAACUAAACAGGAUUCCCUUAGUAAUGGCGAAUGAACAGGGAUGAGCUCAGCAUGGAAAUCGGGGUCUCCCGACCUUGAAUUGUAGUCUGUAGAUGUACUGCCAACGGAGGCGCAGAUGUAAGCCUCUUGGAAAAGAGCAUCAACGAGGGUGAGAGUCCCGUUUGUCAUCUGCAGUCCCCCGUGCACGGUGUGCCUUCUAAGAGUCACGUUCCUCGGGAUUGGAGCGCAAAGUGGGUGGUAAAUUUCAUCUAAAGCUAAAUAUUGGUUCGAGACCGAUAGCAAACAAGUACCAUGAGGGAAAGGUGAAAAGGACUUUGAAAAGAGAGUUAAAAGUGCCUGAAAUUGCUGAAAGGGAAGCGAAUGGAACCAGUGUUCUUGAUGAGAUUGUUGCGUACUCUGGUGAUUGCUGGGUGUUCCACCGCAAGGGGGGCAUCUAGUUUUGAGCUAGAUGUGCGUGGUGUUUCUUGUCUUGUGUGUCACCGUCGGUGCACGAGCGAGUAAACCUCCAGGGGGCUGGUAACUCGACCACGGUUGAGUGAAUACCUUUGGCAGUACUCAUUUGUGUAUCGAUCCCUGCGUGUCUGGUUGCAGUGUUUGGGUCGCCUGGAAACUCCUGAAGGGCUUGUCCUCGAAGGAGUCCUUUUGGGCGCCCUGAGCAUCUCCCUGACACAAAGACGA
rnacentral:rRNA from 1 species